rnacentral:tRNA from 1 species
GCGCUCAUAGCUUAAUUGGAUAGAGCAGUUGCUUGCGGAGCAACAGGUUGCCUGUUCGAGUCAGGCUGGGCGCA